GAUUAAGUUAUUAAGGGCGCACGGUGGAUGCCUUGGCACUAGAAGCCGAUGAAGGACGUUACUAACGACGAUAUGCUUUGGGGAGCUGUAAGUAAGCUUUGAUCCAGAGAUUUCCGAAUGGGGAAACCCAGCAUGAGUUAUGUCAUGUUAUCGAUAUGUGAAUACAUAGCAUAUCAGAAGGCACACCCGGAGAACUGAAACAUCUUAGUACCCGGAGGAAGAGAAAGAAAAUUCGAUUCCCUUAGUAGCGGCGAGCGAAACGGGAAGAGCCCAAACCAACAAGCUUGCUUGUUGGGGUUGUAGGACACUCUAUACGGAGUUACAAAGGACGACAUUAGACGAAUCAUCUGGAAAGAUGAAUCAAAGAAGGUAAUAAUCCUGUAGUCGAAAAUGUUGUCUCUCUUGAGUGGAUCCUGAGUACGACGGAGCACGUGAAAUUCCGUCGGAAUCUGGGAGGACCAUCUCCUAAGGCUAAAUACUCUCUAGUGACCGAUAGUGAACCAGUACCGUGAGGGAAAGGUGAAAAGCACCCCGGAAGGGGAGUGAAAUAGAACCUGAAACCGUGUGCUUACAAGUAGUCAGAGCCCGUUAAUGGGUGAUGGCGUGCCUUUUGUAGAAUGAACCGGCGAGUUACGAUUUGAUGCAAGGUUAAGCAGUAAAUGUGGAGCCGUAGCGAAAGCGAGUCUGAAUAGGGCGUUUAGUAUUUGGUCGUAGACCCGAAACCAGGUGAUCUACCCUUGGUCAGGUUGAAGUUCAGGUAACACUGAAUGGAGGACCGAACCGACUUACGUUGAAAAGUGAGCGGAUGAACUGAGGGUAGCGGAGAAAUUCCAAUCGAACCUGGAGAUAGCUGGUUCUCUCCGAAAUAGCUUUAGGGCUAGCCUCAAGUGAUGAUUAUUGGAGGUAGAGCACUGUUUGGACGAGGGGCCCCUCUCGGGUUACCGAAUUCAGACAAACUCCGAAUGCCAAUUAAUUUAACUUGGGAGUCAGAACAUGGGUGAUAAGGUCCGUGUUCGAAAGGGAAACAGCCCAGACCACCAGCUAAGGUCCCAAAAUAUAUGUUAAGUGGAAAAGGAUGUGGCGUUGCCCAGACAACUAGGAUGUUGGCUUAGAAGCAGCCAUCAUUUAAAGAGUGCGUAAUAGCUCACUAGUCGAGUGACACUGCGCCGAAAAUGUACCGGGGCUAAACAUAUUACCGAAGCUGUGGAUUGUCCUUUGGACAAUGGUAGGAGAGCGUUCUAAGGGCGUUGAAGCAUGAUCGUAAGGACAUGUGGAGCGCUUAGAAGUGAGAAUGCCGGUGUGAGUAGCGAAAGACGGGUGAGAAUCCCGUCCACCGAUUGACUAAGGUUUCCAGAGGAAGGCUCGUCCGCUCUGGGUUAGUCGGGUCCUAAGCUGAGGCCGACAGGCGUAGGCGAUGGAUAACAGGUUGAUAUUCCUGUACCACCUAUAAUCGUUUUAAUCGAUGGGGGGACGCAGUAGGAUAGGCGAAGCGUGCGAUUGGAUUGCACGUCUAAGCAGUAAGGCUGAGUAUUAGGCAAAUCCGGUACUCGUUAAGGCUGAGCUGUGAUGGGGAGAAGACAUUGUGUCUUCGAGUCGUUGAUUUCACACUGCCGAGAAAAGCCUCUAGAUAGAAAAUAGGUGCCCGUACCGCAAACCGACACAGGUAGUCAAGAUGAGAAUUCUAAGGUGAGCGAGCGAACUCUCGUUAAGGAACUCGGCAAAAUGACCCCGUAACUUCGGGAGAAGGGGUGCUCUUUAGGGUUAACGCCCAGAAGAGCCGCAGUGAAUAGGCCCAAGCGACUGUUUAUCAAAAACACAGGUCUCUGCUAAACCGUAAGGUGAUGUAUAGGGGCUGACGCCUGCCCGGUGCUGGAAGGUUAAGAGGAGUGGUUAGCUUCUGCGAAGCUACGAAUCGAAGCCCCAGUAAACGGCGGCCGUAACUAUAACGGUCCUAAGGUAGCGAAAUUCCUUGUCGGGUAAGUUCCGACCCGCACGAAAGGCGUAACGAUUUGGGCACUGUCUCAACGAGAGACUCGGUGAAAUCAUAGUACCUGUGAAGAUGCAGGUUACCCGCGACAGGACGGAAAGACCCCGUGGAGCUUUACUGUAGCCUGAUAUUGAAAUUCGGCACAGCUUGUACAGGAUAGGUAGGAGCCUUUGAAACGUGAGCGCUAGCUUACGUGGAGGCGCUGGUGGGAUACUACCCUAGCUGUGUUGGCUUUCUAACCCGCAC
rnacentral:rRNA from 1 species